AAUAAGAUGCCUGAAUUAAAGGAUUACCUUGAUAGGGUAAAUUAUACAUGUGGUAAUUAAUCAUGUUCUUAUUA
rnacentral:tRNA from 1 species